UCCCCAGUGGUCCAGUGGUUAGGAUUCGACACUUUCACUGCCAUGGCCUAGGUUCAAUCCCUAGUCGGGGAA